rnacentral:rRNA from 1 species
AGCGAACGCUGGCGGCGUGCCUAACACAUGCAAGUCGAACGUGAAAAGGGAAACCUGAGUAAAGUGGCGUACGGGUGAGUCACGCGUAGGUAAUCUACCCCAGAAUCUGGAAUAACCUGCCGAAAGGCGGGCUAAUACUGGAUAGAGCGAGGGAACUCGUAAGAGAGUUUUUCGGGAAAGGGAGCCCGCAAGGGCCUUCGUUCUGGGAUGAGCCUGCGUCUCAUUAGCUAGUUGGUAAGGUAACGGCUUACCAAGGCGAUGAUGAGUAGCUGGUCUGAGAGGAUGAUCAGCCACACUGGAACUGAAACACGGUCCAGACUCCUACGGGAGGCAGCAGUGGGGAAUCUUGCGCAAUGGACGAAAGUCUGACGCAGCCACGCCGCGUGAGUGAAGAAGGCCUUCGGGUUGUAAAGCUCUGUCGGAUGGGACGAACAUCUUCAUAGUGAAUAGCUAUGAGGACUGACGGUACCAUCAAAGGAAGCACCGGCUAACUCCGUG